UGUGAAAUUUUUAAUUACUUGUAAAUUCUCUAACAAUCUCUUGGAACUAAGAAAUUUAGAUUAAAAACCAGGAUUAGAUACCCUGUUAUUCUAAAUAAUCACAUGAGUAGGGUAGUAAAAGUUGUUCUUCAAACCCAAAGAUUUUGGCGGCAUUCCAUCCCAAUAGAGGAGCUUGUCCUGUAAUUGAUAGACCUCAUUUUAUCUUACCCUCUUUUGUUUAGCUUGUAUACCGCCGUUGUCAGACUACUUUAAAAGAAUGUUUUCUAUAAAAAUAUUUUUUUCACUUCAGGUCAAGGUGCAGCUUAUGGGAGGGUAGCGAUGAGCUACAAUUUUAAAUAAAAAUACGGAUUCUAGGCUUAAAAACUGGAGGAAGGUGGAUUUAUUAGUAAAUUUAUUUAAGUAUAAUAAACUGAAUAAGGCAAUGGAA
rnacentral:rRNA from 1 species